GGCCCGCUGGCCAAAUGGUAAGGCGUCAGAUUUCGGUUAUCUCAUGUGUAUACAAUUCAUAUCGAGAGAAUUGUCCUCUGAAGAUUGUGCGUUCGAGUCGCACGUGGGUCG